rnacentral:rRNA from 1 species
GUGGGGAAUUUUGGACAAUGGGCGCAAGCCUGAUCCAGCAAUGCCGCGUGCAGGAAGAAGGCCUUCGGGUUGUAAACUGCUUUUGUACGGAACGAAACGGCUCUGGUUAAUACCUGGGGCUAAUGACGGUACCGUAAGAAUAAGCACCGGCUAACUACGUGCCAGCAGCCGCGGUAAUACGUAGGGUGCAAGCGUUAAUCGGAAUUACUGGGCGUAAAGCGUGCGCAGGCGGUUUUGUAAGACAGGCGUGAAAUCCCCGGGCUCAACCUGGGAAUGGCGCUUGUGACUGCAAGGCUGGAGUGCGGCAGAGGGGGAUGGAAUUCCGCGUGUAGCAGUGAAAUGCGUAGAUAUGCGGAGGAACACCGAUGGCGAAGGCAAUCCCCUGGGCCUGCACUGACGCUCAUGCACGAAAGCGUGGGGAGCAAACAGGAUUAGAAACCCGGGUAGUCC